rnacentral:lncRNA from 1 species
AGAAAAAAUGAGAGGGAGCCAUUUUUUUAGGGAGGAACCAGAGAGUGUGCAGCUAGAGAGAGGAAAUGGGAGAUUCUCAUUUUGGGACUGUGAGAAAAAGAGAGAGUUGUGAGCAGAGGAGUGAACCUACUGAUUUUUCUGGGUUCUUAGAGAGGUGAGCGAGAGAAAAGCAAAGACAAAAAGGAAAUUGAGAGAGAGCUAGAGAGGGAUAUUUUGGGUUUUAGAGUGAGGGAAGGCAGGGAAAGGAGCUAUAGUAGGUGAGCUGAGAGUAGCAAGAAGGAGGAAAGCUUACUGAUCUUUGGAGGAUCAGAGGAGCACUUCAGGUAUGGUUUCUUUGCACAUUUCUUAUUCAUUCUUCCUCAGCUCAUAUUGAAUUAAAGACAUAUGGAGAAAAAGGGGCAAAUGCCGGAGUGGAACGAGGGGAGCGAAUCAAACUUGUAUUUUUAUUGUUAAGGGCGAAUGAUAGGUUGGGGGGUGCGGUUCAGGGGUAUUUUUGGAGUUUCAUUACCUGAGAGUUAGUAUAAAUACCUUUUUAUGUAAUCCUAAUUUGUGAUAUAGUAAAAGUCUUCUUCUCUGUUCUUAUGGACGUCAAUAACCUGUCGAACCAGUUUAAAUUUGUGUGUUUUCUGUUUGUUUUUCUCUAAUUUUUCACUAGGAAUCGUUGCACGAAAAUCAACAUCUCAUCCUGCUGCUUGAGCAUCAUUAGUUUAUUUUAUCGCGUAUUGAGUUGUGUUGAAUCUGAAUUUACUUUCAUGCUUACUCUGUUUUGGUUCUUUCCUAGUUUCUUGGAUUUCUUUGAUAAAUAAUUGCCAUAUAGAUUUGUUUUUGAGCUCCAUUUUUUUUUUAUUAAUCAUGUUACUACUCCCUGUUUCUUCCAUCUAUUUCGGAUCCUUUGAUUAAUUCAUGAAACAUGAUCUAGUUCAAUGGCUUGUUUGCUUGCUUGCUCUUCUUGUGUUAUACUCUGUUUUUUUUUUUUUUUUUUUUUUUUUUGUAUUUUUCUUUCUUAGGCCAUAAGGUCAGAAUUUUAAAUCCAUUGGAUAUGGGGAGAUUGCAAGAGGUAAUUGGUUCCUGCCGGUAAUGAGCAUGUGGUGGCACUUGAUCCAUUAGAAGCAACAUCCCACCAAAAACAAAGUGUCAUGUUCCGCCAGACCAGCAACCCAUUGUUGAAUACCAAACCUCUCCAUAUCUUUCCCGUCUUCAUGGCCUUUUGGUGACUUUGCUGAGUACUGUUCAAGAUUGUUGUUCACCGACACAUCAUUUGUCCCCUUUAUUGGAUUGCCAUUGGCCUGGUUUAAAUAUUAAUAAUAUUUAUAAUAUUACUUAUUCAUUUUCAUAUAAAUGUAUUAAUAUUUUAAAUUUUAUUAAAUAAAAUAUAUACAAUAUUUUAAAUAUGAAAAUAUAUUGAAAAUGGAAAAAAAAAGUAUUAUAUAUAUAUAUAUAUAUAUUAUUUUUUUACAUAACCUAUGUAAUUUAUUACCUGUUAAAUUAUGACACAAAAAAAGUAGCAGAGUGGAGCAAUAAUCCUAUUAUGAACCUGUCAAUUCAACCUCCCCUAUUGCAACAUUAAAGUUGAUUUUUCCUUUAAAUCCCUUUGCAUUGAUCCCACAUGGAAAAUGAGAGGAGAAAUGAAGACCUUUGUAAUUCCUUCCCAUUCACUAUAACAUAAGUGGUUAUUGGGCCAUAAAGCUAGUGGCUACUUUUUGCAAAAUAAAAGAGUGGGCAUUGAAAUGAAGGACGACUUAGCUCAUUUUGCUAAAAAGGCUAAAAAGGGAGGUGUUGUUAAACUGUCCGACUCUUGAAGAACUGGUUCAAUUGCUAGUUUAAGCAGUUCGAGACCGGUUCAUUAGAUGAAUGGUUCAAAAAGGGCCAUAAGACCGGAUAGGCCACCAGUUGGUGGUCGGACCGGCCGGUGUCCGGUUCUCAAAACACUGGAAUAACUUAACAUCCGACAUAAACCUACGAGCUUAUAAACCAUCUUAGUGUACAAAACCUUCAAUAUAUAAACCCACAUGUAUGCUAUAAGAGCACUCUACAAUUCAAGUGCAAAAUUUGCCAUUCGCAACACUCUGAAUCUUUUCGCAUCUCUAUCAUGAAAGCUUCCAAGGAAGAGUCUAUGAAGAGAAUUUUCUAUGCAAUGCUUACCAGCUAGCAAAAUCUGCCAUCUUUCUGUGCUUUGACUCCAUUGCAUCUUGACCAUGUCUUUUUAUUCCAAGUUGGAUUUCAUCAGUAAACGCCAAUAAAGAUCUUCAUCCUCUGGUUCAUCACAAUUUUAGUAACUAAACAAAGAGAAACACUGAUCAUUCAUGAAAGGUAUAUUGUUUUGAGCACCCAUAAUUCUUGCAUCAGAUGUCCACUACAUUUAGUGUUGUUUGGUGCUUUCUAGCUACAAGAUUUAAUUUAUGAUUUUGAUCUCUAAGUAAUGAGAAAGCCAUACAGACAAGAUCAAGCAAAUGCAUACUAUGAUGAGUGACUGUAAAUUUUUCAAACCACCUAUUGAAAAGUGACUGUAAAUUAGCAUACUUGAACAAUUAGGACAACAGAAAUCAAGUUCAAAAGACACUUGGUCCAUUUAUGCAUACUAUCGGUCUAUUUGUGAACACAAACAUAGUGCAAGGCAAGAACUUAAAGUUGUUCACAAAGGGACACAAGUCCACUUGUGCAAAAUUCUAGGUGAUGUAAGGCAAUGCACACAAAUUGCUAUUGGUCUGUUUGUGUGGACUCUACAUCACAUUGUGCACAUGUACAUGGUUUGCUGCCAACGGGAUUAGGUUGUCUUUUUAGUUAGAAGUUGUUAUCAUUAGUUAUUGACUUGUACCAAACUUAUGUUCAAGAAUAUUGUAGGUAUAAAUGAGUUAUCUUAGGUAGAAAUGUGUUUUCUUUUGUCCAUCCUAAAGGGAAUAUACAUGAUCUUGGUAGAAAAAUCAUUAUAAGAGAUAAUCUAAAAAAAGAAAGGAAAUUCUUGAGUGAAUCUAACUAAAUAAGUACUCUUUUGUUUGGCCACGAAGAAAGGGUGAGAGAGAGCCUUCUAUUUUGUGCAAAAGAGAGAAACUAGGGUUCAAUAUCAUUGAUUACUAGUAGAGCAUUGUGGAUCUUUUCUUGUGGAUAUAGGUGAUCUUCAUCAAACCACGAAACAUCUUGGUGUUGUGAUUGUACUUUAUUUUUUGUUGUAUUUAAUUUCUUGGGCUUAUUUAAUUGAUCUUGUCUAGGUAAAAUCCACUCAACAAACUGUUAUGAGAGCCUGUAGAUGGAUUUAAAAAAGGUUGAUAUUCAAUCAGAAGAAUGAUUUGGCACUACGGAGAAUGGAGAUGAUAGCACCACUAGUUAAGAGGGUCUUCAAGAAGUUCUUAAGGGUAAACUUACCAAGUUCUUUAUCCUUUGAGGACAGGACCAAGAUCUUUGAUAAAGCACACAGUGCUGUUUUUUCGAGUCUUAGUGAUAAGAUGUUAUGUGAAGUCUUAA